UACGUAGGGACCAAGCGUUGUUCGGAUUUACUGGGCGUAAAGCGCGUGUAGGCGGCCCUGUAAGUCGGAUGUGAAAUCCCACGGCUCAACCGUGGAAGUGCAUUCGAAACUACAGGGCUAGAGUCCUGGAGAGGAAGGUGGAAUGCUUGGUGUAGAGGUGAAAUUCGUAGAUAUCAAGCGGAACACCGGUGGCGAAGGCGGCCUUCUGGACAGUGACUGACGCUGAGACGCGAAAGCGUGGGGAGCAAACAGG
rnacentral:rRNA from 1 species